GACGAACCCGUCCAAACCGUUAUUCGGAAUCACUGGGCUUAAAGGGUGCGUAGGCGGCGCGGAAAGUUGGGUGUGAAAUCCCUCGGCUCAACCGAGGAACUGCGCCCAAAACCUAGCCGUGCUCGAGGAAGAUAGAGGUGAGCGGAACUUAGGGUGGAGCGGUGAAAUGCGUUGAUAUCCUAAGGAACCACCGGUGGCGAAAGCGGCUCACUGGAUCUUUUUCUGACGCUGAGGCACG
rnacentral:rRNA from 1 species